rnacentral:rRNA from 1 species
UGAAUACGAGAUGCUACGGCGUCGAAGCAGUCUAUGUCAUACUUCCAAGAAAAGCUUGCACUAUCAUAAACAAAUAAUGCCUGUACCAUAACCGACACAGGUGGGUAGGUAGAGUAUACUAAGGGGCGCGAGAUAACUCUCUCUAAGGAACUCGGCAAAAUGACUCCGUAACUUCGGGAGAAGGAGUGCCUUAUUUAUAAGGUUGCAAUAACAAGAUCCAAGCAACUGUUUACCAAAAACACAGGUCUCCGCGAAGUCGUAAGACGAUGUAUGGGGGCUGACGCCUGCCCAGUGCCAGAAGGUUAAAGAAGUUGGUUAGCAUUCGCGAAGCUAGUAACUGAAGCCCUGGUGAACGGCGGCCGUAACCAUAACGGUCCUAAGGUAGCGAAAUUCCUUGUCGGGUAAGUUCCGACCCGCACGAAAGGCGUAAUGAUUUGGAUUCUGUCUCAGAGAGGGGCUCGGUGAAAUAGACUUGUCUGUGAAGAUGCGGACUACCUGCACCAGGACAGAAAGACCCUAUGAAGCUUUACUGUAACUUGAAAUUGAAAUUGGACUUUAUUUGCGCAGUAUAGGUGGGAGGCGUUGAAAAUAUUCUUGCGGGAGUAUUCGAGCCAUCAGUGAGAUACCACUCUUGUAAUGUUAGAUUUCUAACUUUGUAUCAUUAUCUGGUCAAAGAACAGUUUCAGGCGGGCAGUUUGACUGGGGCGGUCGCCUCCUAAACGGUAACGGAGGCGCACAAAGGUUUCCUCUGAACGGGUAGAAAUCGUAUCUAGAGUGUAAAGGCAUAAGGAAGCUUGACUGUGAGACCUACAAGUCGAGCAGGGACGAAAGUCGGUCUUAGUGAUCUGACGGUGCUGAGUGGAAAGGCCGUCACUCAACGGAUAAAAGUUACUCUAGGAUAACAGGCUGAUCUCCCCCAAGAGUUCACAUCGACGGGGAGGUUUGGCACCUCGAUGUCGGCUCAUCGCAUCCUGGGGCGGUAGUACGUCCCAAGGGUUGGGCUGUUCGCCCAUGAAAGCGGUACGCGAGCUGGGUUCAGAACGUCGUGAGACAGUUCGGUCCAUAUCCGGUGUAGGCGUUAGAAUAUUGAGAGGAGCCUUCUUUAGUACGAGAGGACCGAGAAGGACAUACCUCUGGUGUACCAGUUAUCGUGCCAACGGUAAACGCUGGGUAGCUAUGUAUGGAGUGGAUAACCGCUGAAAGCAUCUAAGUGGGAAGCCCACCUCAAGAUAAGUA